GACGAACGCUGGCGGCGUGCUUAACACAUGCAAGUCGAACGGAAAGGCCCUGCUUUUGUGGGGUGCUCGAGUGGCGAACGGGUGAGUAACACGUGAGUAACCUGCCCUUGACUUUGGGAUAACUUCAGGAAACUGGGGCUAAUACCGGAUAGGAGCUCCUGCUGCAUGGUGGGGGUUGGAAAGUUUCGGCGGUUGGGGAUGGACUCGCGGCUUAUCAGCUUGUUGGUGGGGUAGUGGCUUACCAAGGCUUUGACGGGUAGCCGGCCUGGGAGGGUGACCGGCGACAUUGGGACUGCGAGACGGCGCAGACUCCUACGGGAGGCAGCAGUGGGGAAUAUUGCACAAUGGGCGGAAGCCUGAUGCAGCAACGCCGCGUGCGGGAUGAUGGGCUUCGGGUUGUAAACCGAUUUGGCCGGUGACGAAGCGUGAGUGACGGUAAUGGGUAAAGAAGCACCGGCUAACUACGUG
rnacentral:rRNA from 1 species